rnacentral:rRNA from 1 species
UACGGAGGGUGCAAGCGUUAUCCGGAUUCACUGGGUUUAAAGGGUGCGUAGGCGGGCAGUUAAGUCAGUGGUGAAAUCCUGGAGCUCAACUCCAGAACUGCCAUUGAUACUAUCUGUCUUGAAUAUUGUGGAGGUAAGCGGAAUAUGUCAUGUAGCGGUGAAAUGCUUAGAUAUGACAUAGAACACCUAUUGCGAAGGCAGCUUACUACGCAUAUAUUGACGCUGAGACACGAAAGCGUGGGGAUCAAACAGG